rnacentral:lncRNA from 1 species
AUAAAGCCAGUCUCUGAUGCCUACACACAGACUAUACAGUGUGAUGGAAUACAGGCAAAACUUGAAUGAUUAUGAAAUAGGAUUCUAUCCACUGGCUGGCAUGCUGGAAAGCUUUAUGGUCCUCUUGGCACGUGCUACAGUGGGGACUCACAACAGCUCUAUGACAUCAUUGGAAGAGUGAAGUAAAGUACUGGAUGUUUAACUGUAAAGGAGCUUCUUCAAAUGGGAGAAAAGAUGGGAGAUACAUGCCAACAGUGAGUCCAUGCAGAAGUGGCAUCAUAACUGGUGACUAGAAGUGGAAUAAGAGAUUCUUCCUGCAUCACGACUGCUAUAGCACACAGUCAGAAGGAGCAAGUGACUCACUCACACAGCUGCUUGGAGCUACAAUGCCACACAGCCUUUGUCGACCAGCUAUUCCCUGUGAAAGAAGCCUAGUCAGUUUGACCUCUCUUCUGCAUCUUCUAAACUCUUGGCCAAGAUCUUCUGGAAGAUGCUUUCUCACAUCUGAUUUCCUACAAAGUGCCUGCCACAAUCUCGCCCAUCUCUCGCCAACUGGUAUACUGUCUCUGCUUUCCAAAAUUCUAGAUACUCAACAUCAACUCCUACAGAAGACAAAGAAUUAAUAAGAAGUAUGUCCAGAAGACACUAGCCCCACUCUUCCAACCCCAUCACUGUGCUCAGUAGAUUCCCUGGUUUAUAAUCCAACUGGAAGAACUGAGGCAGGCACUCCUGUAUGCUGGCUCCCCAUAUAUGACCAACCACUCACAUAUAAGGUCGGAUGCUCUCCUUUC